GACGAACGCUGGCGGCGUGCUUAACACAUGCAAGUCGAACGGAAAGGCCUCUUUCGGGGGGUACUCGAGUGGCGAACGGGUGAGUAACACGUGAGUAACCUGCCCUUGACUUUGGGAUAACUUCAGGAAACUGGGGCUAAUACCGGAUAGAAGCUCCUGCUGCAUGGUGGGGGUUGGAAAGUUUCGGCGGUUGGGGAUGGACUCGCGGCUUAUCAGCUUGUUGGUGGGGUAGUGGCUUACCAAGGCUUUGACGGGUAGCCGGCCUGAGAGGGUGACCGGCCACAUUGGGACUGAGAUACGGCCCAGACUCCUACGGGAGGCAGCAGUGGGGAAUAUUGCACAAUGGGUGGAAGCCUGAUGCAGCAACGCCGUGUGCGGGAUGACGGCCUUCGGGUUGUAAACCGCUUUCGCUCAUGACGAAGCUUUGUGUGACGGUAGUGGGUAAAGAAGCACCGGCUAACUACGUG
rnacentral:rRNA from 1 species